rnacentral:rRNA from 1 species
UCAAAACUUUCAACAACGGAUCUCUUGGUUCUCGCAUCGAUGAAGAACGCAGCGAAACGCGAUAUGUAAUGUGAAUUGCAGAAUUUUGUGAAUCAUCGAAUCUUUGAACGCACAUUGCGCCCUCUGGUAUUCCGGAGGGCAUACUUGUUUGAGCGUCAUUUCUUUCUC